UGCGGAAUAACUCGGAGAAAUCCGUGACUAAUACCGCAUAAUGUCUUCGGACCAAAGUAUUUAUCGCCCGUGGGAUGACGCCCGCGUAGGAUUAGCUAGUUGGUGGGGUAAAGGCCUACCAAGGCGACGAUCCUUAGCUGGUCUGAGAGGAUGAUCAGCCACACUGGGACUGAGACACGGCCCAGACUCCUACGGGAGGCAGCAGUGGGGAAUAUUGGACAAUGGGCGAAAGCCUGAUCCAGCAAUGCCGCGUGAGUGAUGAAGGCCCUAGGGUUGUAAAGCUCUUUUACCCGGGAUGAUAAUGACAGUACCGGGAGAAUAAGCUCCGGCUAACUCCGUG
rnacentral:rRNA from 1 species